GGGGAUGUAGCUCAAUUGGUAGAGCAUUAUCACACGCUUUGAUAGAGGUACGGGGUUCGAUUCCUCGCAUCUCCA